AUUGAACGCUGGCGGCAUGCUUUACACAUGCAAGUCGAACGGCAGCGCGGGCUUCGGCCUGGCGGCGAGUGGCGAACGGGUGAGUAAUGCAUCGGAACGUGCCCAGUAGUGGGGGAUAGCCCGGCGAAAGCCGGAUUAAUACCGCAUACGACCUGAGGGUGAAAGCGGGGGACCGAAAGGCCUCGCGCCAUUUGAGCGGCCGACGUCGGAUUCGCCAGUUGGUGGGGUAAAGGGUUACCAAGGCGACGAUCCGUAGCUGGUCUGAGAGGACGACCAGCCACACUGGAACUGAGACACGGCCCAGACUCCUACGGGAGGCAGAAGUGGGGAAUUUUGGACAAUGGGGGCAACCCGGAUCCAGCAAUGCCGCGGGCGGGAAGAAGGCCUUCGGGUUGUAAGCCGCUUUUGUUCGGGAAGAAGACCUCUGGGCUAAUACCCCGGGGGGAUGACGGUACCGGAAGAAUAAGCACCGGCUAACUACGUG
rnacentral:rRNA from 1 species